rnacentral:misc_RNA from 1 species
GUCAUGCGCAUGCAAAAGAUAGAUGGCGACAACUAUCCAGAGACAUUGCACCAGAUGUUUAUUGUCAAUGCUGGAAAUGGAUUUAGAUUUCUAUGGAAUACUGCAAAAGGAUUUCUUGAUCCAAAGACAACAGCAAAAAUUCAUGUAUUGGGAAACAAAUUCCAGAGCAACUUAGCAGAAGUCAUAGACCCCAGCCAAUUGCCAG